AGUUCGAUUAUGGCUCAGAUUGAACGCUGGCAGGAUGCUUUACACAUGCAAGUCGAACGGCAGCACGGACUUCGGUCUGGUGGCGAGUGGCGAACGGGUGAGUAAUCAUCAGAACGUGCCUAGUAGCAGGAUAGCUACGCGAAAGCGUAGCUAUCUGCGCAUACGCCCUUCGGGGAAAGCGGGGGACCUUCCGGGCCCUCGCACUAUUGACCGGCCGAUCGGAUUAGCUAGUUGGUGGGGUAACGGCUCACCAAGGCGACGAUCCAUGCUUCGUUUGGGGAAAGGACGACCAGCCACACUGGGACUGAGACACGGCCCAGACUCUACGGGAGGCAGCAGUGGGGAAUUUUUGGACAAUGGGGAAACCCUGAUCCAGCCAUCCCGCGUGUGCGAUGAAGGCGCUGGGUUGUAAGCACUUUGGCAGGAAAAACGGCACGGGAUAAUACCCGUGCAGCCGGUUACCUGCAGAAUGUACCGGCUAACUACGUGCCAGCAGCCGCGGAAGUAUGCGUAGGGUGCAAGCGUUAAUCGGAAUUACUGGGCGUAAAGCGUGCGCAGGCGGUUCGGAAGAAGAUGUGAAAUCCCAGAGCUUAACUUUGGAACUGCAUUUUAACUACCGAGCUAGAGUGUAUCAGAGGGAGGUGGAAUUCCGCGUGUAGCAGUGAAAUGCGUAAGAUAUGCCGGAGGAACACCGAUGGCGAAGGCAGCCUCUAGGAUAACACUGACGCUCAUGCACGAAAGCGUGGGGAGCAAACAGGAUUAGAUACCCUGUUGGUCACUUCCCUAAACGAUGUCAACUAGCUGUUGGGGCCUUCGGGCCUUGACGCAGCUAACGCGUGGUUGACCGCCUGGGGAGUACACGGUCAUAGGAAUUAAACUCGAAAUUGACGGGGACCCGCACAAGCGGUGGAUGAUAAUGGAUUAAUUCCCGAUGCAACGCGAAAAACCUUACCUACCCUUGACAUGUCUGGGAUCCCGAAGAGAUUUGGGGGUGCUCGCAAGAGAACAGAACAGUGCUGCAUGGCUGUCGUCAGCUCGUGUCGUGAGAUGUUGGGUUAAGUCCACAACGAGCACGCAACCCUUGUCAUUAGUUACUACGAAGGGCACUCUAAUGAGACUGCCGGUGACAAACCGGAGGAAGGUGGGGAUGACGUCAAGUCCUCAUGGCCCUUAUGGGUAGGGCUUCACACGUCAUACAAUGGUCGGGACAGAGGGUCGCCAACCCGCGAGGGGAGCCAAUCCCAGAAACCCGAUCGUAGUCCGGAUCGCAGUCUGCAACUCGACUGCGUGAAGUCGGGGAGAUCGCUAGUAAUCGCGGAUCAGCAUGUCGCGGUGGGCCUACGUUCGGGUCGUGUACACACCGCCCGUCACACCAUGGGAGUGGGUUUUACCAAGUAGUUAGCCUAACCGUGGAGGGCGAUUACCACGGUAGGAUUCAUGACUGGGGUGAAGUCGUAACAAGGGUAG
rnacentral:rRNA from 1 species